CUAUUCAAUGCCCAACAAAAGACGCACUGAUCUUUUUUAGUCCUUGGGCACCACGAUAAUGCCCACAGUUAAUGGCAAACAAGAAGAGCCCACACCUGUCCAGUGCAUCGGUGGGAUGACCUCUUCCCUCUUGGCCACAAUAGCAACCAUAAGACUCAAAUUCCUCUGGGCAUCGCUCAGUUAAGCAGAACAGCAUUUCUCCAAGCUGGGGCAGCUCCCUCUUCGCUCUUCCACUUCCCCUCUCUUGCAGAAAGGUUAAUCGCUCACACACUGUAAAGCAAAGUUGUUAUUUGACACAUCAUGUUUUCACUGCUUGGGGGCUCCCUUGUCAUGACAAAAGUGUUUUCAGAGCUGUCAGAAACUUUGAAAGCCAACACUUUAUAAUCUGUAAAUUAUUGCUCCAGUCCAUGAAUUAUGGCUCUUAGAAUUCUGCUGAGCAAGACAGCGGAAGGAUAGGGAAAUAUUUAAAGGGGAGAGAGAUUUCCUCUGAAAAUAUAAUUACAAGUCAAAUUGGAUUGCAAUGAGAAUACUUUGCAGUCCUUUGUAAUCCUUCAUAGCUAAAUUUUUCUUCUGAGUAUUCAGUGGCUUCUGUCUCAGCUGAUUCAGCAAAUACCCCUUGUGCUUGCACAGUGAUAGCUGGACAAUGACCAUGUUGUGCUGUAUCUUUUUUGGUUUCAUUUGAAAUAUAGUUCAAUUCAAUCUAUAAUCCUCCUAGUCCAGAUGCAGGAAUGAUCUGUUGUAGUGCCUGCUGUGGUGCCAAGGUUUUGGCAUCACCAUGUCCCAAUCCUAAUGUCUCUGUGGCUCCCCCCACUCAAGAAGAACUGAUAUUGUGGGAAUUAUUCCUAAGAUUUGAGAGAACACAGUGUUCCAUAUCAGAAAAACAUGUCAAGGGGGACUCUUCUGAGACUUUGCCAGGGAAAGGACUUGAAGGGACUGAUUGGUUGGAUUGGAGGAGAGAGAUGGAGGGCUUCUGUUCCCUCUGCAUCCUCCUCGCUCCCAUAAAUAAUCCCAUUUUCCCUUCUGCAGCUCUAGACUGACUCCCUGCUUCUUCCAGGGACAACCCUGGCUUACUGCCUCCAAAAGGAAAUUCUGCCUAUAUGCCUGCUUGAGUCUUCACUCUCUCAUGUUAAUUCACUGAGAAUGAACCACAAGGUUCAUGCAUUGACAUGUCCUCUCUAACAGCUGAUAUUUUACAAUCAAAUUUUCCACUUUGGUGGAAGAUUAGUUUGAGUCUUCAUGUCUGCUCUUUUCCAGUUCUGGGGCUGCUUCUCUCCAUUGGGAAACCAAACAAGAUGGAUGGUACAGUCCAUGAGUGUGAAUCUACAGCAGUGUCAGGUCUGAAAUGUCUUGAGAUUUCUGGGAUCUCUGAGCAGGAAUGGGAAUAGAAUCAGAAAUGGUGAGAAAAAGUCUGACUCUGGCAAGACUUGCAAAUGGUCAGAAUGAGGAUCAAGGAAGUUCCUAAUAUUGCUUCUGCUGUAAAACAAGGUUCAUUGGGUCCCCUGUCAGACAGUCCUGGUUCCAGAGCUAUUGCAGAGGAAGCUAUGCUUGGGCCACCCCUUGCAGGACUUGUCUCUGGAGAGGACAGAUGCAUAGAUUAGAUUUGUGAAGAUGUGCCUGUGGAAAUCUUCUCGGUGGGGACAAUUUUGACUUGCAUGGAGUUAAUAUCUCCUGGGAAUGAGGCUGGGGAGGUGGUUAUCGCUUCCACUGGGGCCACAGCUGCCAUAAAUCCAUCUGCUUCUGAGCAAGCAGAAACAGGAAAGCAGAAGAAGACAUGGAAAAUAAACAGCAAGAUUUUAAUUUUA